rnacentral:rRNA from 1 species
AACGAACGCUGGCGGCAGGCCUAAAACAUGCAAGUCGAGCGGGCAUAGCAAUAUGUCAGCGGCGGACGGGUGAAUAACACGUGGGAACAUGCCCUUUGGUACGGAACAACUCAGGGAAACUUGAGCUAAUACCGUAUGUGCCGGUAACGGGAAAGAUUUAUCGCCAAAGGAUUGGCCCGCGUCCGAUUAGCUAGUUGGUGAGGUAACGGCUCACCAAGGCGACGAUCGGUAGCUGGUUUGAGAGAACGAUCAGCCACACUGGGACUGAGACACGGCCCAGACUCCUACGGGAGGCAGCAGUUGGGAAUCUUGGACGAUGGGGGAAACCCUGAUCCAGCCAUGCCGCGUGAGCGAUGAAGGCCUUCGGUUG